CCUGAGGGCCCUCUUCCUCAUUAGAGGCACACAAGUGGGGCCCUCUAGGCCCCACACCCUCUGGGCGCGUGCCCUCCCUGACUCCCUACGCCAAGACUAAAAAAUUUGAAGACUCAGACCACAUGUUCCUACCUCACAAUCUCUCUAAAAAGAGCCUCUCUAUACUGAACCGGCUCCUGUCACCUGAGAAAUCUGCUGGAAAAGAAAGCUGGAUAUUGAAGCAGCAAGACCCAGAGGAAGAAGCUGCUGUCCUCUUUGGAGCUCGAUGGGGUGGCCCUGGGCCUGGCCCCCACCCAGGCCUGACAGAGGCAGGAGGGUAUGGCGGGGGCCUAGGGCUUUGCCCCAGACCUUGGACCCCGCAGCGUCUGCCAGGAGACGUCGGAGGAAACGCUUUUACCACCUGGGCGACCUUGA
rnacentral:lncRNA from 1 species